AUUGAACGCUGGCGGCAUGCCUUACACAUGCAAGUCGAACGGCAGCACGGGUGCUUGCACCUGGUGGCGAGUGGCGAACGGGUGAGUAAUACAUCGGAACAUGUCCUGUAGUGGGGGAUAGCCCGGCGAAAGCCGGAUUAAUACCGCAUACGCUCUACGGAUGAAAGCGGGGGACCUUCGGGCCUCGCGCUAUAGGGUUGGCCGAUGGCUGAUUAGCUAGUUGGUGGGGUAAAGGCUUACCAAGGCGACGAACAGUAGCUGGUCUGAGAGGACGACCAGCCACACGGGGACUGAGACACGGCCCAAACUCCUACGGGAGGCAGCAGUGGGGAAUUUUGGACAAUGGGCGAAAGCCUAAUGCAGCAAGGCCGCGUGUGUGAAGAAGGCCGUCGGGUUGUAAAGCACGUUUGUCCGGAAAGAAAUCCUUGGCCCUAAUACGGUCGGGGGAUGACGGUACCGGAAGAAUAAGCACCGGCUAACUACGUG
rnacentral:rRNA from 1 species